rnacentral:rRNA from 1 species
AUCUGGUUGAUCCUACUAGUAGUCACGCUCUUGUCUCAGAGGCUAAGCCACGCAUGUCUAAGUACAUACCUUUAAACGGUGAAGCCGCGAAUGGUCCAUUAAGUCAGCUAUGGUCACGUGGAUCGCUCAUGCUACAUGGAUAGCCGUAAUAAUUCUAGGGCUAGUACGUGCCACUAUGCCCUGACCCUAGAGGGAACGGGUGGGUUUAUUAGAACAGAACCAACCAAGGGCGGCUUUGGUCGUCAUUGUUGCAUUCUGUGAAGACUGUGGAUAACUUCACUGAUCGCAGUCGUCCUUGUGCCGGCAACCGAUCUAGAACAUGUCUGCCCUAUCAAUUUUCGAUGGUAGGUGAUCUGCUUACCGUGGUGCUAACGUAUAAAGGGGAAUCAGGGUUCGAUUUCGGAGAGGAAGCCUGAAAAAUGGCUACUAACUCCAAGGAAGGCAGCAGGCACGCAAAUAACCAAUCCCGGAAUGGAGAGGUAGUGAUAAGUGGAUAAGUGACUCACUAGAGGCUCUGAAAUUUGAAUGAGUACAAUUUUUGUCCUUCAACAAGGAUCAACUGGAUGGCAAGUCUGGUGCCAGCAGCCGCGGUAACUCCAGCUCCAGAAGCGUAUAUUAAAGUUGUUGCAGUUAAAAAGCUCGUAGUUGGAUCUGGGUCGCAUAGCUACAUGCCGCCGCUGGUGGAUCUGGCCUGGUUUCUGCCGGGCUGAGCUUGCUAGUCGGUCUAUUGGUUGUGCUUCCCUUCUGCUGUGUCCGUUUACAGUUGUCGGAGUGACGGUGGGCUUGCCUGCUAGUCUGUCGGAAUGCUUCCCGGUGCCUUUAUUCGGGUGUCGCAGGAGGACAGCAAGUUUACUUUGAACAUAUUUGAGUGCUCAAAGCAGGCCUUUGUGCCUAGAAAUUCUUCCAUGGAAUAAGGGAAUAGGACCUCGGUUCUGUUUUAUUGGUUCUUGGAUCCGAAGUAAUGGUUAGGAGGGACAGGCGGGGGCAUUUGUAUAGCCGUGUAAGAGGUGAAAUACUUGGAUCGCCGCCAGACAAACUGCUGUGAUGAUAUUCGCCAGGGAUGCUUUCAUUGAUCUUUAGCAAAAGUCUGGGGUUCGAGAAUAUCACGUAUCGUCCUAGUUUUGGUCAUAAACGACACCCACUGAAGAUCCGUGGUGGAUAACAAAAGAAAGUCCGACCCGCUAAAUAGUACGCCUGUCAUCCGUUCUCGUGCAGGUUGCGUUGUCCAUUGUCUCCUCGUGGGGUAGUGAGGGUAAGGCAGUUCUCGCAAAUCGAGCAACGCGUAGCCAAUUCAAACGAAUCCUAAAGCCAGAACAAGAUUGUUUCGUAGUUUCAAAGGUACUAAAUUGAAAUUCAUAAGAGUUACAAAUGUGUGCAAACCUCAGGCACGCGGCCAAAUGGACCCCACAGCAAAACUCAAAGGCUGAAAACCCCGUGGCUCAAGUGCGACAGGCAGAAACGGUUCAAGGCCAAAACCAGAUGUCUCACAUGGCUAGACAAACGUGCAAAUGUGUGGCGUACGGAUGUGCUUUUCAAAGUGACGUCAAAAAUGGUCAAAUUCACAAAGCGCGUGUAAUAUUUGGAAGGGUUUUCAUUAUUUGGCCUUUACACAGCCGGCCAAGAUCCUUCCGCGAAAAUAGUUAUCUGAGGUCCAAGAUGAGGUCAAGAUUCUCACCCUACCUACCUAUUACUUAUUGUCAGUGCCUGUGGAUACUAACUUUUGUGUUAGCUGCACAUGGAAAGGUCUUCCGUCUCAGCCAUCAUUUGCACAACCCAUAAGAAAUCAAUUCCAAAUCCCGCUGCACAAAUUGAGAUUGGCGUAUUCAUCAGAAGCCCUACGAACACAGUUAGAAGCAUUAUCA